rnacentral:rRNA from 1 species
GACGAACGCUGGCGGCGUGCUUAACACAUGCAAGUCGAACGGAAAGGCCCUGCUUUUGUGGGGUGCUCGAGUGGCGAACGGGUGAGUAACACGUGAGUAACCUGCCCCUGACUUUGGGAUAACUUCAGGAAACUGGGGCUCAUACCGGAUAGGAGCUCCUGCUGCAUGGUGGGGGUUGGAAAGUUUCGGCGGUUGGGGAUGGACUCGCGGCUUAUCAGCUUGUUGGUGGGGUAGUGGCUUACCAAGGCUUCGACGGAUAGCCGGCCUGAGAGGGUGACCGGCCACAUGGGGACUGAGGUACGGCCCAGACGCCUACGGGAGGCAGCAGUGGAGAAUAUUGCACAAUGGGCGGAAGCCUGAUGCAGCAACGCCGCGUGCGUGAUGACGGCCUUCGGGUUAUAAACCGCUUUCGCCUGUGACGAAGCGUGAGUGACGGUAAUGGGUAAAGAAGCACCGGCUAACUACGUG